GACGAAAAACCUUACCUACCCUUGACAUGUCUGGAAUCCCGAAGAGAUUUGGGAGUGCUCGCAAGAGAACCGGAACACAGGUGCUGCAUGGCUGUCGUCAGCUCGUGUCGUGAGAUGUUGGGUUAAGUCCCGCAACGAGCGCAACCCUUGUCAUUAGUUGCUACGAAAGGGCACUCUAAUGAGACUGCCGGUGACAAACCGGAGGAAGGUGGGGAUGACGUCAAGUCCUCAUGGCCCUUAUGGGUAGGGCUUCACACGUCAUACAAUGGUCGGGACAGAGGGUCGCCAACCCGCGAGGGGGAGCCAAUCCCAGAAACCCGAUCGUAGUCCGGAUUGCAGUCUGCAACUCGACUGCAUGAAGUCGGAAUCGCUAGUAAUCGCGGAUCAGCAUGUCGCGGUGAAUACGUUCCCGGGUCUUGUACACACCGCCCGUCACACCAUGGGAGUGGGUUUUACCAGAAGUAGGUAGCCUAACCGUAAGGAGGGCGCUUACCACGGUAGGAUUCAUGACUGGGGUGAAGUCGUAACAAGGUAGGCGUAGCGAG
rnacentral:rRNA from 1 species